CUACCUACCAAAGGGUUCCUCCUUCCAACACCCCUUUCUUGAGCCUUCAAGUAGUAAUUCUAUGACCACAGAGCAAUUGAUGGACAUUUCAACAAAUAACCCAGACAAUAUUAUCCCUCCUAGACUAUAAGCAGUUUUUAAGAGGCUACCUGUUAUUUAUAAAAGCAACAAUAUUAGAAAUCUAAAUGUUAAUUUUAGAGACAUGGUCAAGUAAAUUAUGAUGAAUCCAUACAACAAAACAUUAUGCCACCAUUCCACAAAAUGUUUACAAACAAGCCAGGCACAAUAGCAUGCAGCUGCAGUCCCAGCCACUAGGAAGGCUGAUGUGGGGGGAUCGCUUGAGUCCAGGAGUUCGAGUCCAGCCUGGGCAACAUAUACAGAGAGACCUCCAUCUCUAGAUAACGCACUUUUUUUAAUUAAAAAAGUUUUAAUGACAUGAAAAAUGUUUAAAACAAAAUGCUAAGUAAAUAAAGAAGAUACUACGUGCUAUAUUCUUUAUGAACUCAACUGUGUAAAAAAUGAAUUGCUAUAGAAGAAAAUAUAACACAAUUGUUGGGUAGUAGAAUUAUAAUUUAUUGCUUUUUACCAGUUCGUACACUAAUCUAUGCUUUGCAGAUGUUCCCAUAUUAAGUACCCCUUUUGUUAUUUAAAAAAGUUAAGGGAGAGAAAUGUUCAUAAAUCUCUAAUUGGUAGAAUUAGAGAGAGCUAAAAACAGUGCUAAUUAUCAGGCAACGUGGAAACAACUUUGUGGGCAAGAGAGCAUUCCUUUUUUUUUUUUUUAACUGUUUACAAAGAGUUCAAUUAAACUUGUUUUAAAUUAAACACACUAAACAAAAUUAUAAGUUUUGUGAUUAUGAAAAUACUGUUUAUCACUACAUAAAAUACUGUUUAUGGCACUUUAUAGAUUCAAAAAACCUAUUAAUGAUACUUCUUUUCUGGAUUAAAGAUAGUGGAUGUUUAUAUAUAUGUAUGUGUAUAUACAUACACACACACAUAUAUAUGUAAAUGUAUCAUACAGAAAAUAACAUAGGCAUAUGAUUUGGAGAAACAGGGAAAAAAAAGUUACAAAGUGGGAGAAGUCCAUCCCACUAUACAACUCAUUCCCAGAUAUAGCAAUAGUCUCUUAUUCACCUCCUCAGAAAUUUUUGUUGCAUGUAAUCCCAUAUAUAUUCUAUUUCACAUUAGUCAUUCUUCUAUACACUUUAUUUCACUAACACCUUAGAAACAUUUACAUAUCAGUAUGUAUUGAUACAUUUCAUUCUUUAUACAUACCAAUUAGUAUUCUAUUCUAGGGCUGUAACACAUUAUUAGUCAGCCCCCUACUGAUAGACACUGAAGUUAUUCUGUUUUCCUCUAUCACGAACAAGGCUUCAGUGAAUAUCAUUGGACAAAUAUCCUUAUAUACAUGAACAAGUGGAUGCCUAAGAUAUAAAUUCUUAGAAUUUUUGUGUCAAAGACUAUGCGUACAUUGAAAAAAUCUGGUGGUGCUACCAAAUUGCCUUCCAAAGAAUCUGUACCAAUUUACAAUCUAAGGGAACAUUUCUGAUCAACAUAGAUUCUUUAAAGCAGACUCCAGUGCUUUCAAUGGCCAGGAAGAUAACAUAGAGUAGUGAAGCAUGCUGGGCUAAGAAAAUGGCGAACUGGUCUGGUGUGGUGACAUAAUCCCAGCACUUUGGGGAGGCUGAGGCGGGUGGAUCACUUGAGGUCCCUAGGGGUUCAAGACCAGCCUGACCAACAAGAUGAAACCCCGUCUUUAUUAAAAAUACAAAAAUUGGUCGGGUGUGAUGGUGCAUGCCUAAAAUCCCAGCUACUCGGGAGGCUGAGGAGCAGAAUCACUUGAACCCAGGAGGUGGAGGUUGCAGUGAGCCGAGAUCAUGCCACUGCACUCCAGCCUGGGCAACAGAGUUAAAAAAAAAAAAAAAAAAAAAAAGAGGGUAGAAAAAAGAGGGGGGAGGGAGGGGGGAGAGAGAGAGAGGAGGAAAUGGCAAACUGGAGAGGGCAUUUAGUUAUUCAAAGCAGCAGCAUUUACUCAAUUCCAUAAUGCUUUGCAGGAAUAUGCACCCAUGCACCCAAUAUUGUCAGAUUGUCUCACUGCUCAAAAGGACCCAAAACUCCUGACUUCUGCAUGAAAUCUUCAGGUUUUGUAAAAUCUUGGUAACUCAUUCAAAAUUUUAGAAACAGUAUGACAAACAAAACAUGUGAGUAGGAAUCAUCUCCUGGGCCUCCAACUUGUGAGCUAUCCUUUAAAGCUUGCGUUUCCCGAUACCCAAAAGACUGCCUGAAUAGUAGAGGCUGUGUUCAGCAGAUUAUUUCCAAGCUGGGAUUUCCUUCUAUUACAUUUUGUUUUGGGGUUAACUUGAAAAUGGAUUUUAUUAACUACGUGGUUAAUAACUAUCUCCUCAAACUAUUUGGAUAACUUAAUCUACUCUGCCCAGAUAGUUUCAUUAAUCAGUUUCCUAUAAUACAUUCCCUUGCUUUAUAUUCGAGUGUUUUAUUUCUGUUUUCUUCCUUAUAUGAAACUACCAUGUUUUAAGAAUUGAGUCAUUUUCCUAUUAAUAUAAUCUUUUUCCCAAAGGAGAAAAUCUAACCAUUUUUCUAUACUACCUUGCAUUCAACAUAUCCAUCUACAUACAGAAGAAAUUGUGGGAAUGGAGUAAAUUAGAAAGAUGCUACCUCUAAAUAGUAUUUUUAAUCUUUGUAAAAUCUCUUUAUAUUAACUACACUCUUAUUUUAAAAAUGUGAAAAAAUAAAUCCUAAAAUAAGCAGAUCUAUAUUUUAAAAUAUUCAAAUUGAUGGUUAAAAUACUAUUUUAUAUAUAUGCAUAUGGGUGUGUGUAUAUAUAUGUAUAUGGGUAUAUAUAUGGGUAUAUAGAUACACAUACAUGUAUACGAAUAUAUAUACACAUAUAUAUGUAUACGAAUAUAUACACAUACAUGUAUACGAAUAUAUAUACACAUAUAUGUAUACGAAUAUAUAUACACAUGUAUAUGUAUACGAAUAUAUAUACACAUGUAUAUGUAUACAAAUAUAUAUACACACACAUGUAUAUGAAUACACACACAUGUAUAUGAAUACACACAUAUAUGAAUACACACACGUAUGUAUAUGAAUACACACACACGUAUGUAUAUGAAUACACACACACGUAUGUAUAUGAAUACACACACACGUAUGUAUAUGAAUACAUACACACGUAUGUAUAUGAAUACAUACACACGUAUGUAUAUGAAUACAUACACACAUAUAUAUGUAUAUGAAUAUAUACACACAUAUAUAUGUAUAUGAAUAUAUACACACAUAUAUAUGUAUAUGAAUAUGUACACACAUAUAUGUAUAUGAAUAUGUACACACAUAUAUAUGUAUAUGAAUAUAUACAUAUAUAUAUUUUUUUUGAGACAAAGUCUCACAGGCUGGAGUGCAGUCACAUGAUCAUGUCUCAUUACAGCCUCGAUCUCCUGGGCUCAAGCGAUCUCGCACCUAGCCUUCCAACCACAGGCACAUGCCACCAUGCCCAGCUUAUUUUUAUUUUUUUGUAGAGAUGGGGUCUGCCUAUGCUGUCUAGGCUGGUCUUGACUUCUGGUCUUAAGCAAUUCUCCCACCUCAGCCUCUCGAAAUGCUGAGAUUACAGACAUAAGCCACCACACUCAGUUAUUUAAUAUUUUAUUAUCUAUCUC
rnacentral:lncRNA from 10 species